GACGAACGCUGGCGGCGGGCCUAACACAUGCAAGUCGAACGGAAAGGCCCUGCUUUUGUGGGGUGCUCGAGUGGCGAACGGGUGAGUAACACGUGAGUAACCUGCCCUUGACUUUGGGGUAACUUCAGGUAACAGGGGCUAAUACCGGAUAGGAGCUCCUGCUGCAUGUUGGGGGUUGGAAAGUGUCGGCGGUUGGGGAUGGGCUCGCGGCUUAUCAGCUUGUUGGUGGGGUAGUGGCUUACCAAGGCUUUGGCGGGUAGCCGGCCUGAGAGGGUGACCGGCCAAAUUGGGACUGAGAUACGGCCCAGACUCCUACGGGAGGCAGCAGUGGGGAAUAUUGCACAAUGGGCGGAAGCCUGAUGCAGCAACGCCGCGUGCGGGAUGACGGCCUUCGGGCUGUAAACCGCUUUCGCCUGUGACGAAGCGUGAGUGACGGUAAUGGGUAAAGAAGCACCGGCUAACUACGUG
rnacentral:rRNA from 1 species